GAUGAACGCUGGCGGCGUGCCUAAUACAUGCAAGUCGAGCGAACAGACGAGGAGCUUGCUCCUCUGACGUUAGCGGCGGACGGGUGAGUAACACGUGGAUAACCUACCUAUAAGACUGGGAUAACUUCGGGAAACCGGAGCUAAUACCGGAUAAUAUAUUGAACCGCAUGGUUCAAUAGUGAAAGACGGUUUUGCUGUCACUUCUAGCUGGAUCCGCGCCGCAUUAGCUAGUUGGUAAGGUAACGGCUUACCAAGGCAACGAUGCGUAGCCGACCUGAGAGGGUGAUCGGCCACACUGGAACGGAGACACGGUCCAGACUCCUACGGGAGGCAGCAGUAGGGAAUCUUCCGCAAUGGGCGAAAGCCUGACGGAGCAACGCCGCGUGAGUGAUGAAGGUCUUCGGAUCGUAAAACUCUGUUAUUAGGGAAGAACAAAUGUGUAAGUAACUAUGCACGUCUUGACGGUACCUAAUCAGAAAGCCACGGCUAACUACGUG
rnacentral:rRNA from 1 species